CCUGUGAUGUGUUUUAUGAAACUGUAUUUCUCUGGCUGUGAUAAUUAGAUUACCCAUUGUGUUCAGUAAUCAUAUCACAGCCAGAGGGGAGGAUUUUGUGUGGGGGUGUCUGGGUGUAUUGUAUGGAUUGAUUGGCUGUUUUGUAACGCCCUGUGGGCUGUACUAUGUUUGUGGAUUGGGAAUAAAAGAGACUGUAUGUGACAGUACAGGGAAUUCCUGCUUAACCCUCAAAGUGAAGUGUCGUCUCAUUAUUGGGGGAAGGAUUUAUUGUAUGCUGUUCAAGUUUGACUGCUAGGAGAGUAAACCUAUUCGUAUGGUUCCUAUUCAACUGUCUACAGCAUUCAUAUGCUUGAGAGGAUUCAUAUGCUUCUCCGGUUCGGUGGUUGUGGUGUCUGCUGCAGUGCUUGGAGACCUCAGGAAGCGCUAGGAGCAUCCUUUAACGGAGGUACCCAGUCGGGGUGCCAGGUGAUCCGUUACAGUGUACUAAACAUUAUGCAAAAGAUCCUGGUAAACAUCGGGCUGGGGUCAGUGACGUCUCCAUUCAGCAAGAGAUUAAGCAAUUCUUUGAAAAACCAUUUGUAUUUAGGAUAUACAGUGAUGACCCAUUAAAAUGGUUACUGUGUAGCAGGCCAGGACUAUCAGGCAAACACCUGGUGGGCCACAGUGGCCAUGAGCAGAGACUGGCAGUGGAGAUCCUUUGAUCUCCCCUGCCAGCCCAUGCAGGGCAGCAUUGGCCCUAAGAGGGACCUACUUUGUGGGCCGGAAAGAAUAUUUAUUUGCCAGAGGGAAGGAACUGAGUAGGGCACCCUGCCCGCCAGGCAGCCCCUGUCUUCUUGCAAGCUUGGAUAUUGAAAUACAGGCGCUUGUAAGAGAGAGGCAUGGUCUGUACCCUGUGGAGGUACAGAUGAAAUAACCAGCGACUGGACCACUAAGGAUCAUCAUUGUGGUGCCCCCUCUCCCCUGGCAAGGUAAGAAAAGGGAGGAGGGAGUAAUUGUGCUAACUUUUUAAAAAAAUUAUUAAAUUAAGCCACUAUCCUACCCCAUUUUAUACACACACACAUUACACCCCUCUAGUUACACACUACACACACACACUGUCCACAUAUGCACACACUACAGGCCCUGCACUCACUCUAUACACCUAUAUACAUUAUAUUCCCUUAAAAACAUGACACCCCCUGUACACAAUAUAUAUAGUUCUAUUUAGGAAAGUAUGAAUUUUAAUCAGAUAACAAUACGGAUGCUGGUAGACUUGCAUGGACAUUACGCAACACUGUUUUAGCUUCCCUAAACAAAGGUUAAACUAGCUUUUUGUUUAACGACCCUGAGAAGUAAACAGGAGAAAUUCUUAUCUGUAUUUGCACCCUGAGAUAUACGUGUAUAAGGAUUACAGUGAACAAGGAGGCAUUACUAAGAGACUAUCCCACCUGAAAAUCCUAGAAUCCAUAGAGCUUCAAAGGAACAAUGAGUUGUUUGUCCAUAAAUAUUACAAAAUGUUUGCUAAUCUACAAGACCCAAAGUCUGAGGUCUCACAGAAAGCUCACUUCCAUAUUAUAAGGCAUAUAACGGAACCAUAUACGAUCUACAUAUGUGAUUGCUACAGUAAUGUUUAAACACCAUACGUGACUGAUCUAGGAAAAAAAAAAAAAUAAAUAAUCACAUGACAGGAGGCUUCAUAUUUUGCAUAACUUUCUUUACUUUAUGCCUCCAGCAGCACAAGUCAAUCAAUAAACUUUAAACCAACCAGUAACAGGCAUCCCAUCCAUAUAUAAAGCCCUGACAGACACAUGACUUCCUCUUUCUUUGCUGCUCCAGCCAAGGCACAGGUCAGAGGAUUUUGCUCCAAACUGUUUUUAUUGAUAUUGCAAUGGUCACUUUAGUUAAACACUUAUUACAUUAAUCCCGUUCCGUCUCCCUGCUCUACCCUCCAUAUGAUACUAUAUUAUAACCUUUGUAUGUUAUGUUUCCUGGUACUGGUUCCCCUCCCUGUCACUACCUCACGCGGAUCGCGGCAUUUUACCGCGAUCACGUUUUUUUUCUUUUUUGCUGGUUCUCAGACUUCAGACAAGGGUACUGGGAGCGGGAGGGACGUUUUACCAUACCACAUUUGCGUGUGAACAGCGGCCAUCUUGAAUCUCGCGGUACCGCAAGAUUCACGGCGGCCAUUUUGUUUCACAUGUUUGCGAUUCCCACGAACUGACAUUGUUCUCUAUGCAGCUCUCCAUGUAUAUCUACUGUAAUCUCCACUGGGCACAUUUCUCCACACAGCUUCUGUGCAUGAAUGUUAGCUAAUGCUUACCCAAUGUGUGCACAUAGUGGUACUCACACUCAGUCUGUUUUCAGGAGUGUGGAUUAGAAGCUGUUAACUUGUGUCCGACCCUCCUAAUCCCACUAGAAUUCCCAUCUACAAGGAUAUAAUUCUACUACAGAGUACGCUCUCUCACUGUAUGCACAGACUAUUGAGGCUACCACGCCUCCCAUACACGGGCUACGUCCCGACAUUGCAGACCGCUCAUCCCGGUCUUAUUGAGGGUCACCCCCUCCUCAGAUUUUACUAAAGUGGUACUGAUUGACUGAAAUUCUGGGUGACCCCCAGUUAUACGUGGAAGCCCACUGAGUGGCAAUAAGUGUACUACUGUACUGUUCUGUCUCCCACAGACCAAAAGAGUGUGACCCAACAUGUCUGACUCCCCUCAAUAUCCCCCAACCGAUUUUCAGUCAAGGAUUAAUGCUGCCAUGGCAGCUUCGGUGGAAAAAGCCCUCCCCAAAAUGCUGGCAAACAACCCAUCUGACAGGGCGGGUGUGACGGCCCCACCACCAAUGGAAGCUAGAGAUACCAACAACGUUAGGUCGGACACCGUCACUCGGAACAUCCUGUCCAUUAACCAUCUCAGGCUCCAUCAUCAGGGGACGAGGACUCCAUCCCUCCCCCCUUCUCUGGAGAUCAUGGAAGAAUGGAGAGCAGACAAGUCUCCAUCUGAAGAAGAAGAGUGGCAGGAUCCACCCUAGCAAGAAAGGCUUUCGAGAGGCGAAUAACGAUUUGGGUGAGGUCGGUUUUUUUUUUGACACACUGGGCACUCUCAUUUUGACCCACGCACCAUCCGACAUCCAAGGUCAUCCGAAUGGGGUUUACCGGAUAACCUGGCACACUUUGUCCACUUCUGGCUCAGGAGGCCUAUGGGAAAGUAAGUUCGAGAAAAGCUCAGGGCAGAAUGCCCACGCCCUCUUUUACCAAACAAGAUAGUCUUCACCCUGGAGUUCGAUACCGAUCAUGUAAGGGUGUAGAAAAAAGGCUUAAAACAGUUCAGGAUAAAAUACUGGCCAUGAUCGGUCCCGUGGCAAAAAUUCUAUAUUUUGUGGACCUGGCCCUCACCCAAGACUCACCUCUAGAAGCUCAUGAUGUGAGGGAAUGGGUGCAAAGGUAAAUAUAUAUGCUGGGGAAUGCAAAUGCAGCCAUGUGCACGGAACGGCGCAAAGAUGGAUUCCAAACUAUUGGAGUUAGGGACGAAAGAGCUAGGCCCUCAGGCGGACGGGCUAUUGUUUAGAGAACCAUUUAUCACAGAGUUUAAAAAAACACGUGGGCCUAUAUACCACCCUGAACAUGGUACAGCAGGGCUGGUAGGCAGAGUUGUCGGGCCACCAGCCUCUUCUGGUCCUCGAGCCCCAGACAUCAACCUACACCUCAACCCUUCUUACCAUCCGCAAGAGCCACCUUCGCAAGGGGAUACUUCCACACAAGGGGUGCUUGAGGUCGUAGAUGAUUCAAUUCAGGUGAGCAUCCCUCUCCCACUACUUUGUCAGUCAGAUAAAACCGCGGGCAGGUUGCCUCUCUUUCCAUAGAACUGGGAAGCCAUCUCCACAAACACCUGGGUCCUCCAACCGGUAAAGGGGUACGUGAUAAAAAAAGUUCACCAGUACUCCGGUACAGGUCGUACGACCAACCCUACUACAGGCAACGAAGGCCCACAUAUCGCUCAUAGACAAUGAGAUUCGAGCUCCGUUCGCCAAAGGAGCCGUAGAGUUCACUCCAGACAUUCAGGGCUAUUUCAGCAACGUUUUCGUAGUAAGAAAGAAGACGGGAGACUAUUGUCCAGCCAUCAAUCUACGCCAACUCAAUGGAUUUGUGGCGUACCGACACUUCAAGAUAGAAGGUAUCGAUUUCUUACCCGAUCUACCCCUCGAAAACGACUGAUUCACACGGUUUGAUUUGAAGGACGCUUACCUAUUGGUUCCCAUGGCACAUGUAAGUCGCUCCUUCCUUUGCUUCACUUGGCAGGAUCGACCUUGCCAGUUCAUGUGUCUACCGUCGGCCUCAGCUCGACCCCAUGGGGUCUCACGAAGCUUCUGAAGUCGGUCACGGCACACUUGAGAGCAAGGUGUAUCCCUUGUCUCAUAUACCUAGAAGACUUGCUGAUUUUUGCAAAUCCAAUUCCAGACUACGGUCACAGACGAGAUUUAUAGUUACGGUUUCGGGAAUCAUUGGGAUUCGUAGUGAACAGAGAGAAGUCGUCUCCGUCCCAGUCCAGAGUCACUCAGUUCCUCUGCUUCGGAAUAGAAUCCACCUCAUGUGUAUUACACCUUCCCAAAUCAUUGAUAGCGACGAGUCGAAAGGAAAUUCGACAUGUACUCUGGAAAGGCACCAUAACCCUUCACCUACUAGAAAGGAUUGUCGGACUACUCUCAUCCUCCAUCCAAGCGAUUAUCCCGGGGCUGCUCACUACCUGAGAUCAGGACACACAUAUGAGCUUAGGAUCAGAGCAGCGAAGACCUCGAUGGUACUCAUCACACCGAUGUGAAGGAGCCAAGCGUGGCACCCAGAAUUGUUGGCUCUGACUCAAGAUCACCCUCUGCUCCUUCCAGUUUUUACCCUUCCUUCUGACAGAUCCAAAAGGAGAACCUCAUACAUUGAUAAUGCAGGAGCGUCUGGAGUUGGUGGCUUGGAG